rnacentral:lncRNA from 1 species
UUAAUUUUGACCAUUAUAUAUGAGAUAAUCAUAUUGUUGUUAAUAAACAUAAUGUAUGACCGCAAAUUUACAUCUGGAACCGACCCGGCCCGGGAACCGAAGUCGGCCGAAAUUAAUAACCGAACCAGACCGCUGGAUCUACCGGUUCCUACCGGUUCUUGCUGUGUCUUUGAUGUUGGAACCGGUCCUCGAGAAACAGCAACAUACGGUUCCGGUUUUUUCCGUUCUACCGGGGUUCCGUUUCUACCGGUUCCCGGUUCAAAAAAUGCACAAGAAUAUCGUCCCGGUCCCGGCCCAAUCGGUUCUAUCCGUUCCAGUUCCGGCCGGUUCCACGCACACACACCCACCCACCCAUCCACAAGAAUAUCGUCCCGGUCCCGGCAGGCACACACACACACACACACACACACACAUAUAUAUAUAUAUAUAUGAAAAUUCGAACGGACAAUUUUUUUAGCAUGAGAUUUGUUAGAAGUAACUACCGCCCCUUAGACACCAUAAGGAUGACCCCCUUGACCCUGCUAGGGGCUAUUUGGAACCCCACCAGGGGUGUUGCCCAGGGACCCCUAUGCUCCCGAAUUCACUUUGGCUUCUCUCGAUCGAGUAGACAACACCUCCAAUCUCAUAUUAUAACUAUAAUUCAACUCAGUUUGUCUCGACAAAUUUCAAGUACUCAAGAAUCACGAUGUCAUUAGGAUUGAGUAAUUGAAGAUAUUAUACACACAAGUUUUUACAUAAAUUCUAAUGUUCAUGCUUGAAACUAUUACAAGUCAUUGUUUUGUCCCCACGAGUGCAUAAAAGCCAAGCACUAAGCUUCCUGAAGCGGUAAAACUUCACUCACAUAGAUGGUCCUUUUAAUUCAUGCAUCAACACAUACAUGUUUUUAAUAGAGCUAUUAACGAACUAUUUAUCCUAAUUUUAAUUUGCAGUUUUAAGCACAUACCUUAGGAAGAAGUAAACCAAUGUGCUUUGAUCUCCAAAAGCAAGCCUUCUACAUUGAAUUCAAUUCCUAGCAUUGUAUUAGGAGGGAAUUGGGUAUCUUACCCUUUCAGAGAUACCAAACGGGACUUAAACUUAUCUUGAUAACCGACAUAUUUAUCAAUUUCCUAGCUAAUCCUUUCGUUAAAUGAUCGACUAGAUUCUCUUAAGUCGAACAAACUCGACAUAACCUAUAAACUAUCCGACGAUCAUUAAACAAUAGAGUAGAAUAAAUUGAAAACACAAUUGUCAUUAUACAGUCGAAUUAAAAUCGAUUUGACUCCAAGCUGGAGUCGAUUGAACAGAAUUUGAAAGAAAACUCGGAAAAAUGGAGUUGCGAUUUAAAGAGAUCGGCCGGCAGUAUGAAGAUGAAGAUGCUUCAAUUAGCCAAGAUGAAGCACAAUUCAGAAGGUUUAGACAAGAACGUACCUGGAUCAAGUAAGUGAACGCCGUCUGGGGUGAGUUCCGUCAACACCACCGCCUGAAGCAGAGAUACGAUCCAGAUCAGCGUCGGAGAGUGAGCAUCGUACCCAUAACGGCGUCCGACGGUGCUUGAGAGAUACGAUCCAGAUUGGUGUCGGGGAAACGUCUUCCGACGGUGAAAUCCAUCAAAAGUACAGAUGCGUCAAAAGCACAUCGCAUCUUACUUCUAUUUUUACAAGAAAAUAAUCCUCACUUGUUACUAAUUUAUUACUUUAUUUAGUUUAUCGAUUCAAAUGUUAGGUGGCCCAUCGUUUUUUCUUUACAAGAGUUUGAAGGAUGAUGAGUUGGCUUCCAAUAUAGUUUCCAAUAUAGGCAUAGAUGAGUGCUUUAAGUUCAUAACGUGUAUACCUUUCAUUUUUCACCUUUUCAGUGAUUUUCCUUUUCAUAUUUCUCAUUUUUUUAAAACCUAAAAA